AAAGGGUACCCCAAUAAAAUCUUAAAAAGAGCUUACUAACAAACAGCAGCACAAGAUAGAAGUGUAAGUCUGAGAACUACACGACCAAAGCAAGACUCUAAAUUAAUCCGCUGCAUAGGGACCUUCAACCAAUACUUGAACCAAUACUAAAAAUCAUGUCCCACAAUUGACCGAUCUUAAACUAUGACAAAGAUUUGAAGGACAACAUCAGCGAAGUCCCUAACAUUAAAGCAUGCACAGCCAGGAACCUGCAAGACUAUCUUGUACAUAGGCACACAGAACCUACAUGGUUAACACCUACAGCAGGAAUUUACCAAUGUGGACACUGCAAAGCUUGUAAAUAUAUUAAACCAUAUUAAACCAUAUUAAAGACUGUCUCCAGCACAAAAACAUCAAAAGGAAUACAAAAUCAAAGAUUUCAUUAAC